rnacentral:lncRNA from 1 species
GCUGCUUCCAAGUUGUGGCAGUUAUGAGUAAAGCUGCUAUAAACAUCCAUGUGCAGGUUUUUGUGUGGACAUAAGUUUUCACCUCCUUUGGAUAAUUACCAAGGAGUGCAGUGGCUAAAUCAUAUGGUAAGAGUAUGGUUAGUUUUGUAAGGAAUUGCUAAACUAUUAAAUAUCUCCCAAAGUGGCUGUAACGUUUUUCAUUCUUACCAGCAAUGGAUAAGGAUUUCUGUUGUCAAAGUGUUCUGGAUUUUGAUAUGUAGUGUUAUCUCCUUGUUUUAAUUUGCAUUUCUCUGAUGACAUCUAAUGUGUUUGCUUUUUAGGGUGAAAUAGUGGUGAAAAAUAACCCAAAUGAAUCUGUAACUGCUAAUGCCGCUACCAAUUCUCCUUCAUGUACAAGAGCAGAUCCUAAAAAUGUUAGUAUACCAUCUUCUGAAGCUUUAUCUUCGGAUCCUUCCUACAACAAAGAAAAACACAUUAUUCAUCCUACCCAAAAGUCUAAAGCAUCACAAGGUAGUGACCUUGAACAAAAUGAAGCCUCAAGAAAGAA